CGGCGACGGGUGAGUAACACGUGGGUAACCUACCUAUAAGACUGGGACAACUUCGGAAACCGGAGCUAAUACCGGAUAAGAUAUCGAACCGCAUGGUUCGAUAGUGAAAGAUGGUUUUGCUAUCACUUAUAGAUGGACCCGCGCCGCAUUAGCUAGUUGGUGAGGUAACGGCUCACCAAGGCAACGAUACGUAGCCGACCUGAGAGGGUGAUCGGCCACACUGGUACUGAGACACGGUCCAGACUCCUACGGGAGGCAGCAGGC
rnacentral:rRNA from 1 species